rnacentral:ncRNA from 2 species
AACGCACAUUGCGCCCUAUGGUAUUCCGUAGGGCAUGCCUGUUUGAGUGUCAUGAAAACAAUCAACCUUGACCUUGGUUUAAUUACCUCGGGCUUGGCUUGGACUUGGGUGCUUGCGUGGCCUUCACCGGCCGGGCUCACCUGAAAUGCAUUAGUGGAUCUUGUCUUUGGGACAAUCGGUUUGACUCGGCGUUAUUUAAGCAUUUCGUUGAGGACAUUGCAUUCGUGCGGUGGCCGGUUCGCUUUCUCUGACUGCUUUGCCGCUCUCCAACCAUGGAUCGGACCUUCGGGUCGCGACUUCCAACCUUUCAUGAAAUCUGACCUCAAAUCAGGUAGGACUACCCGCUGAACUUAA